rnacentral:rRNA from 1 species
ACGAACGCUGGCGGCAUGCCUAACACAUGCAAGUCGAACGCUCCGCAAGGGGAGUGGCGCACGGGUGAGUAACACGUGGGAACCUGCCUAUCGGUUCGGAACAACGUCUGGAAACGGACGCUAAUACCGGAUAUUCCCUCAGGGGGAAAGAUUUAUCGCCGAUAGAGGGGCCCGCGUCCGAUUAGGUAGUUGGUGGGGUAAUGGCCUACCAAGCCGACGAUCGGUAGCUGGUCUGAGAGGAUGAUCAGCCACACUGGGACUGAGACACGGCCCAGACUCCUACGGGAGGCAGCAGUGGGGAAUAUUGGACAAUGGGCGCAAGCCUGAUCCAGCAAUGCCGCGUGAGUGAUGAAGGCCUUAGGGUUGUAAAGCUCUUUCGCACGCGACGAUGAUGACGGUAGCGUGAGAAGAAGCCCCGGCUAACUUCGU